UACGUAGGGUGCAAGCGUUGUCCGGAAUUAUUGGGCGUAAAGAGCUCGUAGGCGGUUCGUCGCGUCGGCUGUGAAAAUCCCCGAGGCUCAACCUCGGGUCUGCAGUCGAUACGGGCGGACUGGAGUUCGGCAGGGGAGACUGGAAUUCCUGGUGUAGCGGUGAAAUGCGCAGAUAUCAGGAGGAACACCGGUGGCGAAGGCGGGUCUCUGGGCCGAUACUGACGCUGAGGAGCGAAAGCGUGGGGAGCGAACAGG
rnacentral:rRNA from 1 species